GAUGAAGGAACGUAGCGAAAUGCGAUAAGUAAUGUGAAUUGCAGAAUUCAGUGAAUCAUCGAAUCUUUGAACGCACCUUGCGCCCCUUGGUUAUUCCAAAGGGCAUGCCUGUUUGAGUAUCAUGAACACCUCAACUCUUGUGGUUUCCCACAAUGAGCUUGGACUGUGGAGGUUUUGUUGGCCCUGUGGUCAGCUCCUCUCAAAUGGAUCAGCUUACCGGUGUUUGGUGGCAUUACGGGUGUGAUAACUAUCUACGCUCGUGGUCGUCUCCAAAUAACCUCCAGUGAUGGAGGUUCGCUGGAGCUUAUAAAUGUCUCUCCCCAGUGAAGACAGCCUUUGAACGUUCGAUCUCAAAUCAGGUAGGACUACCCGCUGAACUUAAGCAUAUCAAUAAGCGGAGGA
rnacentral:misc_RNA from 1 species